GGCCGCAGUACCCUGACUGUGCUAAGGUAGCAAAAUCAUUAGCCUUUUAAUUGACGGCCAGCAUGAAAGAUUUGACAUAGAGUUAUCUGUCUUAAGACUAUCUAAUAUAAUUUUAUAUUAUGGUAAAAAAGCCAUUAAUUAUUAAAAAGACGAUAAGACCCUAAAAUCUGCUAAAAUCGAAUUAAUUUUUAGAUUUUUUUUUUUACUAUUUAGUAUACUGGGGCGGUAAUUAUUAUUUUAACAAUAAAAUUAUAUACACAUUGAGGGAUUUUUUAUAACCUUUUUUUUUUGAAUAAAAAAAGAUACUUUUGGGGGAACACCGCAAAAUAUUUUUAUAGUCCCCUUUGGCAAAAAUGUUUAUGACCCCCCGGUGGAAUUGGGUUUUCUCUAUUUUGAAGAAAAAAAUAAAGGGGGGCCGUGCCCAACUUAAUUGUGCCCACGGGUUGAGGUCCCACCCGG
rnacentral:rRNA from 1 species